CAGAGGUGGCAAGCGUUGUUCGGAAUUACUGGGCGUAAAGGGCGCGUAGGCGGUUGCCUAAGUCGGACGUGAAAUCCCCAAGCUUAACUUGGGAACUGCAUCCGAUACUGGGUAACUUGAGUUCGGGAGAGGAAUGUGGAAUUCCAGGUGUAGCGGUGAAAUGCGUAGAUAUCUGAGGAACACCGGUGGCGAAGGCGGCAUUCUGGACCGAAACUGACGCUGAGGCGCGAAAGCCAGGGGAGCAAACGGGAUUAGAUACCCCGGUAGUCCUGGCCCUAAACGAUGAGUGCUUGGUGUGGCGGGUAUCGAUCCCUGCCGUGCCGAAGCUAACGCAUUAAGCACUCCGCCUGGGGAGUACGGUCGCAAGGCUG
rnacentral:rRNA from 1 species